rnacentral:misc_RNA from 1 species
AGGGUAGGCUUUAGCCAUACCCACCAUUGUGAACGAAGCUUUAGUAGCAGUUGCUUCGGCGGGUAGUAAUACCAUACCCCUUUACGGGGUAUCCGCCGGAGGCAAGCAAACUCUUGUUAUUUAUUGUUGUCUCUGAGUAAACUUUUUAAUAAGUCA